rnacentral:rRNA from 1 species
GACGAACGCUGGCGGCGUGCCUAAUACAUGCAAGUAGAACGCAGUUGCGAACGGGUGAGUAACGCGUAGGUAACUGCCUCAUAGCGGGGGAUAACUAUUGGAAACGAUAGCUAAUACCGCAUACUGUGAGAUGGACCUGCGUUGUAUUAGCUAGUUGGUGAGGUAAAGGCGCACCAAGGCGACGAUACAUAGCCGACCUGAGAGGGUGAUCGGCCACACUGGGACUGAGACACGGCCCAGACUCCUACGGGAGGCAGCAGUGGGGAAUAUUGCACAAUGGGCGCAAGUCUGAUCCAGCCAUGCCGCGUGUAUGAAGAAGGCCUUCGGGUUGUAAAAUACUGUCGGCAGGGAAGCGUUACCCACAGAAGAAGCACCGGCUAACUACGUGCCAGCAGCCGCGGUAAUUC